rnacentral:rRNA from 1 species
AUGAAGCUGGCUACCAGCAAUACGAGAUGCGCCAAGCAUGAGGGGAAUUCCAAUCUGAUAUUGGAAGGUCUAUGUGAAACGCCAAUAUUGCUAGAUAUGACGUGCCUGCUGGGGUGGAAAAUCACAUACAACUACGUCAUGCACGCCAGUUGUGAGAAUGAGGACAGCUGGGUUUACGUUGUUCAGUACAUACGUGAUUACAAAGGUUUCUACAUGGAAGGUCAGAUAGAAGGGUCGAUAGCCUAUGAGGUGGUAUCGAUGGAAGGGAAACAGGGAGAGCUCCCAAGUCCCAAGCUUCAUGAUUGA